GAGAGAGAUUUCCUGCUCGUGAGCUGAAAGGCAAAGAUUUUUUUUCCCAGCUCCAGUAGUGGCACCUUCUGCUGUCAGAAUUGAUGGUUCAGAUUAUCAAGAUACUUCAGGCUUCAAUACUUAUGCUCCCUUAAUUGAGGCCUUUUUGAUCUGGAGUGGACCCAGUCUCCCAAAUCAGAGCUUUGAAAGAUGACAGCUCCCUUUCCAUGGAUGUUGGAUGCUGGGAUGGAGGGUGUGAGAGCAAGGAGCCCACAUUCCACCCACAAGCCCCAGAGGGAAGCACAGCGAUGCCAGAAACAAGAAGCAAGGAACUCAUUUCACACUCAGGUGAAUUGCAGGAGAUCCCCAAGUGAACCAUCAAGGCACCUCUUACUCUUACAGCUUGAAUUGGCUUUAAAAACAACACUCCCAAUCACUCCUCAUUGGGGUUUUCUUUUGCAUGCAGUCAAUGGAGUCCCCUUAAGAAUUUCUGAGAGUUUUUCUGGAUGCAUGAAUUCAUGGCUUGGGUCCUUUGAGCUUUGCAGGCUGGAAAGGGAUGCUGGAGGCUCAUGCCACGUUUGUUGUUGAGGAUGGCUCAGCCUUGGGAACCCUCGCUGGAUGUGUCCCCAUCCUGGUGGUCUCUGCUCUCAGAAGGGGCAUUGGCUGCAGCUCUUGGCCACAAGCAGCUGGUGAGGUUUGACAGGGACACCAGCCUUGCUACUCAGUGUCUCUCGUGCAGGGAGAGGCAGGCAAAGAACCUCUGU
rnacentral:lncRNA from 1 species